rnacentral:rRNA from 1 species
UACGUAGGGGGCAAGCGUUGUCCGGAAUCAUUGGGCGUAAAGGGCGCGUAGGCGGACUGCCAAGUCCGGGGUGAAAUCUUUCGGCUCAACCGGAAAAUAGCCUCGGAGACUGGCGGUCUGGAGGGGGGUAGGGGCAGCUGGAACUUCCGGUGGAGCGGUGAAAUGCGUUGAUAUCGGAAGGAACGCCGGUGGCGAAAGCGAGCUGCUGGACCUUUUCUGACGCUGAGGCGCGAAAGCCAGGGGAGCAAACGGG